rnacentral:rRNA from 1 species
UACAGAGGUGGCAAGCGUUGUUCGGAAUUACUGGGCGUAAAGCGCGUGUAGGCGGCUCUUCAAGUCAGGCGUGAAAGCCCCGGGCUCAACUCGGGAACUGCGCUUGAUACUGUCGAGCUAGAGUGUGGAAGGGGCGAUUGGAAUUCCGUGUGUAGCGGUGAAUUGCGUAGAUAUAGGAAGGAACACCAGUGGCGAAGGCGACUACCUGGACUGAUACUGACACUGAGGUGCGAAAGCGUGGGGAGCAAACAGGAUUAGAUACCCCAGUAGU